rnacentral:lncRNA from 1 species
CCUAAUAUCCUGUGGGUAAUGGACCAUGUCAAAAAUAACGUACGAUUAAGUAAUAUAUGAUGGACAAAAUAUAUAAAGUAGAUGUGGUCCAUCGAAAACUCACUUUGACAGAAUUCAAGAGACAACUCUGAUGCAUGUCCACCGCGGACGCUCUAUAGAAUGACACAAAUAAAGUUUUGAUUUAUUUAGGGGCACAAUGUAAACCAGAUCUGUACAAAUUGGUAGGUGCUAAUGGAGGACAAGUAGAGAGAUUUUGUGGAAGUUGUUGGUAGUGAAGGACAGGGCCGGUCCUAGACUUUUUGUGGCCUAAAGCAUUUUUAUAAAUAGCCUUAAUAUUUAUUAUACGAAAAAUAAUUAGUUACAUUGAAAUUUUCGGGAAAAAAAUAUGUUUCAAAUUUAUUUUUCAAAAAAAAAUAUGUCCAACCUAUAUAUUGACACAUGAUAAAAUUUAUUCUAUAGAUUAUAUAUAUAUGUAUCUAAUUAUCUUAAUUAUAUUUUGUAAAUAAUUAGGUAGUAUAAUUACAAAAGUUGGUUAGAUAUUUUAACAUUUUCUAAUUUUUCCUAUCAAAUUCAUUAGAUACUAAAUAGUCGAAAAUUCCUCUCAUUUUUUAUAAUAUUAAAGGCUUUUUAGAAAAUAAUUUAAAGUGUAAAGUAAACAUUUAGGAUGAUAGAUUUAGAAAUUUUAGAAAAAUGAAAGUCAAAAUAGAAGAAAAAUAAAGAACAACAAAAUAAUAGUAAUAUGAUAAGGGACCAAGAGUAUAAGAAAGAAACAGUACUUUUAAAAUAGGGAAUUUUAUUGGAUAUGCCAUUUUGGAAACUCAAUUUUGUGAAACUGCCAUUAUUGAAAAUGUCUUUCAAAUCAUGCCACAAAGCAUGAAAUUUUGACGAUUUUGCCCUGGACAUUGGAGAGAGAAACUUUGAUUUUUCUGUUAACAGCAGUAGCCAUUAAUUGCUGGGAUGUAACCUAAUAUCUUGUGGGUAAUGGACCAUACAUGUCAAAAAUAGCGGACGAGUAAGUAAUAUAUGAUGGACAAAAUAUAUAAAGUAGAUGUGGUCCAUCGAAAACUCACUUUGACGGAUUUCAAGAGACAACUCUGAUGUGUGUCCUCUGACAUGUCGUUAGUAAGAUUUGUAGUCCAACAAGGUUUGUCUAUGUUUUCUUAAACCGGUGAAAGACAAACACAAAAAGAUGAGUUAGAAGAAAAUAUGGACAACUGUGUUGAUGGACAUAUUGGGUGCAGUAGAUCUGGUCUAUCAAAACUUACUUUAAGAAAUUUUGAGAGACAACUCUUGUUUGGGUACCAAGACCAGGAGUUUGGUCCUCCACCACAGACGUUCUAUAGAAGGACACAAAUAAAGUUUUGAUUUAUUUAGGGGCACAAUGUAAACCAGAUCUGUACAAAUUGGUGGGUGAUAAUGGAGGACAAGUAGAGAGAUUUUGUGGAAGUUGUGGGUGGUGAAAGAGCAGAAACAAAAAAACGAUAGACAAAAAAAAAAGAGAUCUCGUCCACAAGAUCUGGUCCACUACAUCUGGUCCGUCGAAUCUGGUCUGUCGGAUCUGGACCGUCGGAGUUCGUCCGCAGGAUUUGGUCCGCCGGAGUUCGUCCGUCGGAUCUGGUCCGCU